UAUGGUAAUGCCAGCCGCCGCGGUAAUACGGAGGAUGCGAGCGUUAUCCGGAUUUAUUGGGUUUAAAGGGAGCGCAGACGGGAGAUUAAGUCAGUUGUGAAAGUUUGCGGCUCAACCGUAAAAUUGCAGUUGAUACUGGUUUCCUUGAGUGCAGUUGAGGCAGGCGGAAUUCGUGGUGUAGCGGUGAAAUGCUUAGAUAUCACGAAGAACCCCGAUUGCGAAGGCAGCUUGCUAAACUGUAACUGACGUUCAUGCUCGAAAGUGUGGGUAUCAAACAGG
rnacentral:rRNA from 1 species